UUAUCCCACUGUCGCAUACAAUCCCAACACAUUAAGGGUAAUUUUACAAUUAACCUACACAAGCACA